UACGUAGGGUGCAAGCGUUGUCCGGAUUUAUUGGGCGUAAAGAGCGUGUAGGCGGUUUGGUAGGUCCGCUGUGAAAACUCGAGGCUCAACUUCGAGACGCCGGUGGAAACCAUCAGACUAGAGUCCGGAAGAGGAGAGUGGAAUUCCUGGUGUAGCGGUGAAAUGCGCAGAUAUCAGGAAGAACACCAGUGGCUAAGGCGGCUCUCUAGUACGGUACUGACGCUGAGACGCGAAAGCGUGGGGAGCGAACAGG
rnacentral:rRNA from 1 species